GACGAACGCUGGCGGCGUGCUUAACACAUGCAAGUCGAACGGUGAAGCGCCUUCCUUUUUGGUGGGUGUGGAUGAGUGGCGAACGGGUGAGUAACACGUGAGUAACCUGCCCCCUUCUUCUGGAUAACCGCAUGAAAGUGUGGCUAAUACGGGAUAUUCUGGGUCUGUCGCAUGACGGGUCUGGGAAAGAUAUUGUUUCGGUGGGGGAUGGGCUCGCGGCCUAUCAGCUUGUUGGUGGGGUGAUGGCCUACCAAGGCGGUGACGGGUAGCCGGCCUGAGAGGGUGGACGGUCACACUGGGACUGAGACACGGCCCAGACUCCUACGGGAGGCAGCAGUGGGGAAUAUUGCACAAUGGGCGCAAGCCUGAUGCAGCGACGCCGCGUGAGGGAUGGAGGCCUUCGGGUUGUGAACCUCUUUCGCCAGUGAAGCAGGCCUGCCUCGUUUGUGGGUGGGUUGACGGUAGCUGGAUAAGAAGCGCCGGCUAACUACG
rnacentral:rRNA from 1 species